rnacentral:misc_RNA from 1 species
AGAUGCCGACAACACCGAAGAGUAACCGUAAAGGACAGGAUUCGGAGAAGAGCAGGAAGAACAGGCUGACAGAGAAGGCGUCGUCGUUUCACGGGAGGAUCCCGGUGGAUGUGCCGAAGCCGAGGAUUCAUCGUCCAAAUACGCUACCUGAUUUGCUUGGAGGCCGGAGGAUGGCUGGAGUGAGCACAGAGGCGCGUCCAAAGUUGACGAAGCUGCUAUUAAACGUGAC